rnacentral:rRNA from 1 species
AGAGUUUGAUCCUGGCUCAGGACGAACGCUGGCGGCACGCUUAACACAUGCAAGUCGAACGAGAGAAGAGGAGCUUGCUUUUCUGAUCUAGUGGCGGACGGGUGAGUAACACGUGAGCAAUCUGCCUUUCAGAGGGGGAUACCGAUUGGAAACGAUCGUUAAUACCGCAUAACAUAAUUGAACCGCAUGAUUUGAUUAUCAAAGAUUUAUCGCUGAAAGAUGAGCUCGCGUCUGAUUAGCUAGUUGGUAAGGUAACGGCUUACCAAGGCGACGAUCAGUAGCCGGACUGAGAGGUUGAUCGGCCACAUUGGGACUGAGACACGGCCCAGACUCCUACGGGAGGCAGCAGUGGGGAAUAUUGCACAAUGGAGGAAACUCUGAUGCAGCGAUGCCGCGUGAGGGAAGAAGGUUUUAGGAUUGUAAACCUCUGUCUUCAGGGACGAAAAAAGACGGUACCUGAGGAGGAAGCUCCGGCUAACUACGUGCCAGCAGCCGCGGUAAUACGUAGGGAGCGAGCGUUGUCCGGAAUUACUGGGUGUAAAGGGAGCGUAGGCGGGAUCGCAAGUCAGAUGUGAAAACUAUGGGCUUAACCCAUAAACUGCAUUUGAAACUGUGGUUCUUGAGUGAAGUAGAGGUAAGCGGAAUUCCUAGUGUAGCGGUGAAAUGCGCAGAUAUUAGGAGGAACAUCAGUGGCGAAGGCGGCUUACUGGGCUUUAACUGACGCUGAGGCUCGAAAGCUGGGGAGCAAACAGGAUUAGAUACCCUGGUAGUCCACGCCGUAAACGAUGAUUACUAGGUGUGGGGGGACUGACCCCUUCCGUGCCGCAGCAAACGCAAUAAGUAAUCCACCUGGGGAGUACGACCGCAAGGUUGAAACUCAAAGGAAUUGACGGGGGCCCGCACAAGCAGUGGAGUAUGUGGAUUAAUUCGAAGCAACGCGAAGAACCUUACCAGGUCUUGACAUCGUAUGCAUAGCUCAGAGAUGAGUGAAAUCUCUUCGGAGACAUAUAGACAGGUGGUGCAUGGUUGUCGUCAGCUCGUGUCGUGAGAUGUUGGGUUAAGUCCCGCAACGAGCGCAACCCUUACUGUUAGUUGCUACGCAAGAGCACUCUAGCAGGACUGCCGUUGACAAAACGGAGGAAGCUGGGGAUGACGUCAAAUCAUCAUGCCCCUUAUGACCUGGGCCUCACACGUACUACAAUGGCUGUCAACAGAGGGAAGCAAAGCCGCGAGGUGGAGCGAACCCCUAAAAGCAGUCUUAGUUCGGAUUGUAGGCUGCAACCCGCCUACAUGAAGUCGGAAUUGCUAGUAAUCGCAGAUCAGCAUGCUGCGGUGAAUACGUUCCCGGGCCUUGUACACACCGCCCGUCACGCCAUGGGAGUCGGUAACACCCGAAGCCUGUAGUCUAACCGCAAGGAGGACGCAGUCGAAGGUGGGAUUGAUGACUGGGGUGAAGUCGGAACAAGGUA